AUUGAGCGCUGGCGGCAGGCCUAACACAUGCAAGUCGAGCAGAUGACGGGAGCUUGCUCCUCGAUUCAGCGGCGGACGGGUGAGUAAUGCCUAGGAAUCUGCCUGGUAGUGGGGGACAACGUUUCGAAAGGAACGCUAAUACCGCAUACGUCCUACGGGAGAAAGCAGGGGACCUUCGGGCCUUGCGCUAUCAGAUGAGCCUAGGUCGGAUUAGCUAGUAGGUGAGGUAAUGGCUCACCUAGGCGACGAUCCGUAACUGGUCUGAGAGGAUGAUCAGUCACACUGGAACUGAGACACGGUCCAGACUCCUACGGGAGGCAGCAGUGGGGAAUAUUGGACAAUGGGCGAAAGCCUGAUCCAGCCAUGCCGCGUGUGUGAAGAAGGUCUUCGGAUUGUAAAGCACUUUAAGUUGGGAGGAAGGGCAGUAAGUUAAUACCUUGCUGUUUUGACGUUACCGACAGAAUAAGCACCGGCUAACUCUGUGCCAGCCGCCGCCGUAA
rnacentral:rRNA from 1 species